rnacentral:rRNA from 1 species
GACGAACGCUGGCGGCGUGCUUAACACAUGCAAGUCGAGCGAUGAAGCUCCUUCGGGAGUGGAUUAGCGGCGGACGGGUGAGUAACACGUGGGUAACCUACCUCAAAGAGGGGGAUAGCCUCCAGAAAGGGAGGUUAAUACCGCAUAAUAAUCAGUUUUCACAUGGAGAUUGAUUUAAAGGAGUAAUCCGCUUUGAGAUGGACCCGCGGCGCAUUAGCUAGUUGGUAGGGUAACGGCCUACCAAGGCGACGAUGCGUAGCCGACCUGAGAGGGUGAUCGGCCACAUUGGAACUGAGAGACGGUCCAGACUCCUACGGGAGGCAGCAGUGGGGAAUAUUGCACAAUGGGCGAAAGCCUGAUGCAGCAACGCCGCGUGAGUGAAGAAGGUUUUCGAAUUGUAAAGCUCUGUCUUUGGGGACGAUAAUGACGGUACCCAAGGAGGAAGCCACGGCUAACUACGUGCCAGCCGCCGCAGUAACAC